UCCAUCUAUAUCCACAUAAAAUAAAUAUUUUCUUUAUCAUAAUAAUCAAUAAUUAAUUAUUUAAAAAUAAUAUUACAGAAUCACAGUACUGACAACCAGGCCGUUCCCAGGAAAGAGGGGGCUUUCCAAUAAGGAUUUCUCCUUACUGGCGCGCAAUUAGGUGACCAAACCUCUCCUUAGACAGAACUUUCUAGACAUUGCCAAUAAUGUUAUCUGAUAAUAUUAUUCAAAUAAUAUGAAUUAUUGAUUUGAUAAUGGAAAAUACUGUGUAAUGACAAUUAUUGAAACAACAGCAAUACAAAAUAUCAACGCAGCAAUUAUUGAAUCAAUAAAAUAUAAUAUUGAACAGUAACUACUGUAACAAUUAUUGAGUAGUGCCUUCUUACGUAAGGAUCAAUAAUUCAAUAAUACUGUGCAAUACCGUGUGCUACUGUGCAACCACGCGUAACUGUAUUUUAACCACCAGGUAACCCAACAGUGUUAACGGUUACAAUUUACGUCGUUAUUUAUAAAACUCAAUCUUUGUCGUUUUCCUUCAUCCAACCGUUUUUCGUUAUGGGGCCCACCAAUGACUGCGCCGUCGUACGGAGAUUCCCGACAAAAAGAAUAUUCCACGACCAAACGAAUAUUCCCCGACAAUAAUGAAUAUUUUAUAACCACUUGCUUAUUUUGUAAACUUUGCACAUUUCACCCAUAACAAAAGAAUUAUAUCAAAUUAACCCUUAUUAAUUUAGAAUAAUGAAUAAAGGAAAAUUCAAUUUUAUUUAUAAUAAGUUGGGGUCUUACA
rnacentral:lncRNA from 1 species